UGAACUUGUUGUUGCGGAUGUUGAAAGCACUUUUCUCCACGAGUAUUAAUUAAUGAUAAAUAAAGUGAGCCUCGUUAAAAUCACAAAAUAUACUGCCAGCAUAUUUCCAUAUUUAAAUGAACAGAGAAACUAUUAAAAGUAUUAGAAAAUCAUUUCACAAUUAUACAAUUCUUAUAGUUUCACUUAGUGGCUGAAGAUUGAUUCCGUAACAAUCCGUAACAUCUUUUAUGCUCCAUCUGUCGCCGAAAAAAAAAACAGAGCAUUCGAUGUUCGUUGUUUGCUUUGAGUUUGUGUUCGACAUGCGAUUGGCCAAUUUCGUGAUGGAUGACAUAUCAUUAAAGGUUGAAUAAUCCCAUUUGGAUAUGAUUUACAUAUUGAUCAAGCGGGGCUCUGUGGUUUCUUUUGGAUGUGUGGCCGAAUCUAGAUUACAGUCAAACCAAAAUUUCACUUUCGAUGCCGUAAAUAUUCACAGAUAUAUAUAUACGUAUAUUCGCGUCGCAUGCUGGGAUCGGGUGAAAGGCAUCGAAUACACGAAUAUAUGUAGAUAGGUUGCGGGAACCCCAUUCGAUCUCUGACCACAUCAGGGCGGCAGGCACUGAACACACACGUCUGCACGUCUGAACGAACGAACUGAAGACGCAGCUUAAUCACCUUUUACAAUGUAUUUGGGCGAUGGAUACUCGGGUGUAUCUCUUCCGCGUUCACAAAUCUUAGUCGAAGAUGCUGCCGACUCGGACACCGCUCAGGUUAUAAGCGGAGCUCGAUGAUGGGGCUUAGGUUUUAUAUAGUUGGAGGGGGGGAAACCCCUCCAAUCCCAUACUUGGCUUGGACCAAAACCAGAUGUCUUUACAAACUAUGAAAACUUUUCGAACAUGAACAAUUAACAUGAUGUAAAGGUGUAUCUGGUGGU